CCUACGGGUGGCUGCAGUCGAGAAUCAUUCACAAUGGGGGAAACCCUGAUGGUGCGACGCCGCGUGGGUGAAUGAAGGUCUUCGAAUGGUAAACCCCUGUCAUGGGGUAGCAAAUAAUAACGAUAGUACCACAGGAGGCAGCGACGACUAACUCUGUACCAGCCGCCGCGGUAAUACGGAGGUCUCAAGCGUUGUUCGGAAUCACUGGGCGUAAAGGGGGCGGCGGCUGUUCUGCAAGUCGUGUGUGAACGCGGCGGGCUCAACCUGGGGGCUGAAUAUGAUACUGCGAGACUAGAGUAGUGGAGGGGGAACCGGAAUUCCCGGUGUAGCGGUGAAAUGCGUAGAUA
rnacentral:rRNA from 1 species